rnacentral:rRNA from 1 species
AGCGAACGCUGGCGGCAGGCCUAACACAUGCAAGUCGAACGAACUCUUCGGAGUUAGUGGCGGACGGGUGAGUAACACGUGGGAACGUGCCUUUUGGUUCGGAAUAACUCAGGGAAACUUGUGCUAAUACCGAAUGUGCCCUUCGGGGGAAAGAUUUAUCGCCAUUAGAGCGGCCCGCGUCUGAUUAGCUAGUUGGUGAGGUAACGGCUCACCAAGGCGACGAUCAGUAGCUGGUCUGAGAGGAUGACCAGCCACACUGGGACUGAGACACGGCCCAGACUCCUACGGGAGGCAGCAGUGGGGAAUCUUGCGCAAUGGGCGAAAGCCUGACGCAGCCAUGCCGCGUGAAUGAUGAAGGUCUUAGGAUUGUAAAAUUCUUUCACCGGGGACGAUAAUGACGGUGCCCGGAGAAGAAGCCCCGGCUAACUUCGUG